AUUUUAUCCUUCAUAUGCUGAGAAGUGUUAAGUUGAUGUUGCUAUUGUGAUCGGUUAAAGAUUUCUACCUUGUCUUGUGUUUAUUUCCCACUUGUCUUCUCUCCCCUAUUAUUCCGGUAUUACUGUUAAGUUAGAAUGCAAUGAUAUGUAUAAUCGGGAAUGCUGAUGGUUGUUUUACUCAUGAUAGAUUUAUAGUUUUUCCAUUUAGAUUCUCGGCAGGUACCUUUUCUUUGAGAUUCCACUCAUUCUAUUUUCUUUUCAAUUUAGUUUACCCGGUUAGAUUGCUUUCUAUUCUUUACUGUUUAUUUAGCAAGGUUAAAUAGUCAGAAUCUCUUUUUACAUGCCUCUAAUGUAGAUAUAUAUUUAUUCUUUAGAAUUAGUAUAGACUAAUUUAUUUCGAGGAAAAUGUGCCAUGAUGUUAUAUGACUCAUGGGGGCCAUGAUGGAUGGCAAAUUAGUGCCUUUAAGAGGCAAUGUAUCAUCAUAUAUGAUGGAUGAGAUCUCUGACAUAUAAAACAUGUUAAAGUAACCAGUUUGACAAAAAGAAGGGUGAUGGAAAUAUUAGGUAAACGAAUGGUUAAAGCCAUGAAAUUUCACUUAUUAUUUCAUUCGUAACUGAUAUUUUUACCAAAGUGCUAGGAAUAGGUGAUGUAUACUGGAGGAUUUAUGGAAACUACAAACACGAUUUUAAUAUAAAAGCGUGAAGGAAUAUAAAUUAAUUCCCAAUUUACGCCCAGAGGAUUCUCCGGAAAUCCCAAAUUAUAGUAUGAACUCUGAAUAGACAAUAUAUAUAAAUUUAACACAUUAAUAGUGCCGAGUAACUAUUUGGUAAAGUUAUGGUAUCUUCAAAUAGAAGAUGCUAAUUAUACUCUAACCAAAAGGUAACUUAAUCCAUUAGUAAUUAGAUAUGAUAGACAUAAUUGUAUCCCUUAAAUUCUGCAGCGAAAAAUUCCUAAUAAUAAGUAACAUGAUUGUUCAAAUAUAAAUUAAUUCAUUUUUAGCCAGGAUUCCACGGAUUGGCAAGAUUGGUCAAAUCCUUAAUUAUAGCAGGCUCUUUUUUUGACAGAUUUAUAGUAGGCAAUUUGAAUAAACUGUUUAUAUAUUUAACACAUCAAUAGCAUAGAAAUUAAUUCCUUUUUAGCCUGGAGGAUUUCACGGAUUGGCAAGAUUGGUCAACUCCUUAAUUAUAGCAUGCACUUUAUUGACAGAUUUAUGGUAGGCAAUUUGAAUAGACUGUUUAUAUAAUUAACACAUUAAUAACAUAGAAUUAAUAUUUAGUAGCAUGAUAGAAGUAUCCAAUAAUACCAGAUCAUAAGGUUUAACUUAAUCCAUUAGCUAUUAGUUAUGAUAAUUAUAAUUGAAUUCCUUAAAUCUUGCAGUGAAGACUGCAUAGUUUUAAAUAACAUGAUCAUGCUGUGGAACUGAAAACUAUAUAAAUGACAGGCUGGCACGAUAAGAACUACUCUAAAGAGGGUGCUAAUUCAAAUUAGUAUCUUAUUAACUUAUUAGGAGAGAUCGCAAAUUUAGAAAUAAAUAUUCUUUAACUUAACAUAACUGAUAGGUGAGAAUACUACUUCCAAAGCAGUGAAGUUUAACUUUCUCCUAAUUUAUAUAGGAAAUGUACCUUUCCCCGGUAAUGUGUACGUUGGAGUCACUGUGUGUGCUCAGCUUAAGGUAUAUAACAUCUAUUAUGACAAUAGAUAUAGACUUGAAUUUACAAGUAAUUAUUGGGUGUUCUCAAAAAAUGUUUGCAGGAAAUGGUAGCAUGAUUGUUAACUAUAGACUGAGAGAUGCAUGGACUAGGUUAAACACAGAGAUGGAUAUAUACUGUUGGGAUAUCAGGGACAUGAGGAGUCGAGAAUGAGGUUAAUUAUUCAGACAAAGAAUCUCUGAAAAUGUUUAGUCAUUCAAUAGAAAAAUCGCACAGGACCUGUAUAAUUAAGUUUGAUUAACUGCUUGAUAAUAUACUGAGGCAUAUUUGUCAAACUUUAAUUGUAUGAUUCAUUGUUAAAUAGUAAUGAGACUUGGCCAAGUGAAAAGUACAUCAUAAUUGUUAAAAAUAGGAAAAUAUCCUUGAAGUAUUUUUAAGUAUCUAACCAAAGGUCUCCCUUUGGUUAGAUUUUUCUUUUUAUUUUUUAUUUUUUUAUUUCUAUUUUCUUUUGAUAUUUAUUAUUUCUUCUCUUAUAUCUUGUAAAAUUAUAUUGAUGCUGAGAUUUUAAUAAUUACUAAUAUUUUUAAUUAUUAAUAGUGAGAUUUUGUUUCUUUGUUUCAGGGAUGAGAAAGAAAUAGAGUGGAUCUAGAGCGUGGGACGUUUUAUUUCGGACAUUAAGUGUUAUUGUCUAAACUUCCGGAGACAUUUUCAUGUCUUUCGGUUAGAUAAUAAGCUUUUUGAAUGAAAGAAACUCCUCGGAGUAGCGGCGUUUUCUCGAUACGAGCAAGUGCAUUUCUGUUAAAAAAAAAAAAAAAAAAAAACCAUGUUUGCAUUCAUCAUUGUCAAACUUCUGAAGUUGAACUACAGCUUGAUCUGUUCUUGUGAUAUAGUGUAUAGAACAUGUAGUAUGUUAUCAAUGUAUGCAAUUGGGGAAUCUGUUGGAUUA